rnacentral:rRNA from 1 species
UUGUUGGUAAGGUAAAAGCUUACCAAGGCUUCGAUCAGUAGCUGGUCUGAGAGGACGACCAGCCACACUGGGACUGAGACACGGCCCAGACUCCCACGGGAGGCAGCAGUGGGGAAUUUUGGACAAUGGGGGCAACCCUGAUCCAGCCAUGCCGCGUGAGUGAAGAAGGCCUUCGGGUUGUAAAGCUCUUUCAGCCGGAACGAAACGGUUACGGAUAACACCCGUGACUACUGACGGUACCGGAAGAAGAGGCACCGGCUAACUACGUGCCAGCAGCCGCGGUAAUACGUAGGGUGCGAGCGUUAAUCGGAAUUACUGGGCGUAAAGCGUGCGCAGGUGGUUUUGUAAGUCAGAUGUGAAAGCCCCGGGCUCAACCUGGGAACUGCGUUUGAAACUACAAGACUAGAGUGUGGCAGAGGGGGGUGGAAUUCCGCGUGUAGCAGUGAAAUGCGUAGAGAUGUGGAGGAACACCGAUGGCGAAGGCAGCCCCCGGGGUCAACACUGACGCUCAGGCACGAAAGCAUGGGGAGCAAACAGGAUUAGAUACCCUGGUAGUCCAUGCCCUAAACGAUGUCAACUAGUUGUCGGGCCUUUACGGGCUUGGUAACGUAGCUAACGCGUGAAGUUGACCGCCUGGGGAGUACGAUCGCAAGAUUAAAACUCAAAUGAAUUGACGGGGACCCGCACAAGCGGUGGAUUAUGUGGAUUAAUUCGAUGCAACGCGAAAAACCUUACCUACCCUUGACAUGUAUCGAAGCCCGCAGAAAAGCGGGGGUGCCCGAAAGGGGACGAUAACACAGGUGCUGCAUGGCUGUCGUCAGCUCGUGUCGUGAGAUGUUGGGUUAAGUCCCGCAACGAGCGCAACCCUUGUCAUUAAUUGCCAUCAUUUAGUUGGGCACUUUAAUGAGACUGCCGG